rnacentral:lncRNA from 1 species
CUAAAAUCUCACCGUGGCAAGUGAAGGGAAGAAGUGGAUUUCACAUUUAAGUCUGUUCGGCUACUAGUUUUUACAGCAGUUCUCGCAAGUCUUAUCAUCCCCAUUUCACAGAUGGAGAGACUGAAACCCCAAAGGACGACUGGCCCAGGUCACAAAGCUCCCGACUGAAGCAACAACAGGAUUUCAGUUCACAUCUGUUUGACCCCAGAGACAGUGCUUCAAAGCUAAGUCUCUCUACAACUGUCCAUGCUAUACACAAACUGUGAGAACCAUGGGAUACUGUUUUCUACCUAUCGUGAUGAAAAAGAUCCAGUGAAAAAUAUCCAGUACUGGUGAGUGCACGUCUGUGGUUGAAAUGGGUAUUCUUGCACUGCGGAUAGGAGGGCAAAUUGACUCAGACUUUCUAAAGGCACAUUUUAUACUGUGAGCUAAAAACUUGAAAAUGUACCUGUUUUUUCCUUUUUUUUGAGAGAGAGAGAGAAUCUUAAGCAAGUUCCCUGGCCAGUUGGAGCCCAA